GAGUAACGCGUGAGAAUCUGCCUUCAGGAUGGGGACAACAGUUGGAAACGACGGCUAAUACCCAAUAUGCCUACGGGUGAAACUUAUUUGGCCUGAAGAUGAGCUCGCGUCUGAUUAGCUAGUUGGUGGGGUAAGAGCCUACCAAGGCAUCGAUCAGUAGCUGGUCUGAGAGGAUGAGCAGCCACACUGGGACUGAGACACGGCCCAGACUCCUACGGGAGGCAGCAGUGGGGAAUUUUCCGCAAUGGGCGAAAGCCUGACGGAGCAAUACCGCGUGAGGGAGGAAGGUUUUUGGAUUGUAAACCUCUUUUCUCAGGGAAGAAUUUUGACGGUACCUGAGGAAUAAGCAUCGGCUAACUCCGUGCCAGCAGCCGCGGUAAUACGGGGGAUGCAAGCGUUAUCCGGAAUUAUUGGGCGUAAAGAGUCCGUAGGUGGUCAUGCAAGUCUGCUGUCAAAGCCCACAGCUUAACUGUGGAUAGGCGGUGGAAACUGCAUGACUUGAGUACGGUAGGGGUAGAGGGAAUUCCCAGUGUAGCGGUGAAAUGCGUAGAUAUUGGGAAGAACACCGGUGGCGAAAGCGCUCUACUGGACCGUAACUGACACUGAGGGACGAAAGCCAAGGUAGCGAAAGGGAUUAGAUACCCCUGUAGUCUUGGCCGUAAACGAUGGAUACUAGGCGUUGUCUGUAUCGACCCGGACAGUGCCGAAGCUAACGCGUUAAGUAUCCCGCCUGGGGAGUACGCACGCAAGUGUGAAACUCAAAGGAAUUGACGGGGGCCCGCACAAGCGGUGGAGUAUGUGGUUUAAUUCGAUGCAACGCGAAGAACCUUACCAAGAUUUGACAUCCCG
rnacentral:rRNA from 1 species